rnacentral:rRNA from 1 species
CCUACGGGUGGCAGCAGUGAGGAAUAUUGGUCAAUGGUCGGGAGACUGAACCAGCCAAGCCGCGUGAGGGAUGAAGGUACAGAGUAUCGUAAACCUCUUUUGUCAGGGAACAAAGGCGGGGACGUGUCCCCGGAUGAGUGUACCUGAAGAAAAAGCAUCGGCUAACUCCGUGCCAGCAGCCGCGGUAAUACGGAGGAUGCGAGCGUUAUACGGAUUUAUUGGGUUUAAAGGGUGCGCAGGCGGUUGGUUAAGUCAGCGGUAAAAGCCCGGGGCUAAACCACGGCCCGCCGUUGAAACUGGCAGUCUCGAGUUGGAGAGAAGUAUGCGGAAUGCGCGGUGUAGCGGUGAAAUGCAUAGAUAUCGCGAAGAACUCCGAUUGCGAAGGCAGCAUGCCGGCUCCACACUGACGCUGAGGCACGAAAGCGUGGGUAUCGAACAGGAUUAGAUACCCGGGUAGUC